GACGAACGCUGGCGGCGUGCUUAACACAUGCAAGUCGAACGGAAAGGCCCUGCUUGCAGGGUACUCGAGUGGCGAACGGGUGAGUAACACGUGGGUGAUCUGCCCUGCACUUCGGGAUAAGCCUGGGAAACUGGGUCUAAUACCGGAUAGGAGCCAUUUUUAGCGUGAUGGUUGGAAAGUUUUUUCGGUGUAGGAUGAGCUCGCGGCCUAUCAGCUUGUUGGUGGGGUAAUGGCCUACCAAGGCGGCGACGGGUAGCCGGCCUGAGAGGGUGGACGGCCACAUUGGGACUGAGGUGCGGCCCAGACUCCUACGGGAGGCAGCAGGGGGGAAUAUUGCACAAUGGGCGCCAGCCUGAUGCAGCGACGCCGCGUGGGGGAUGACGGCCUUCGGGUUGUAAACUCCUUUCGCUAGGAACGAAGCUUUUUGUGACGGUACCUAGAUAAGAAGCACCGGCUAACUACGUG
rnacentral:rRNA from 1 species